rnacentral:lncRNA from 1 species
AAAACAUGAUGAUGUUUUAACUAUUUCUGUUACAUGCGUUACUUGAAAGAAAGUUGUCUAGCACCUAACUUUUGGUUAUUUAUUGUCUCCACUAAAAGAAUGCAUAUGUAAGAAAUGAAUAACAGGGGUAAGAAGGAAUGGGCCCAUGGACAAAGGAUAAAAGCAUAUGUUCAAAGGAAAAUCAUAAACCCAUAAAUGGGUCAUGGAAAACAAAUGAAGCAGUCGGCAAACUUCAUGUUGCAGUAACUCAAACAAUAACAUCUCGCUGUGAGGACAAGUAGAUGACGUGAUUCUACCCUUCUAAGGAAACGGGAACAUACUUUUCAUUUGAUCAGAAUGGGACAUCAGUUUACUUCUAAAUAAUGGAAAGAUGUGGGCAAGCCUGAUACCAUAUGCUUUCUUUAAAAGGCUCCAGUAACAGACUAACUCAUUAAUACUCCUAAGAAGAAGGAAAUGCAUCCAAGUUCCAGUUGGAUAAACUAAGGGUUGAUUUUAUUCAAUUUGACUUGACCAAGUGAUUUAGCCUUGAAAUUAUUAAACUUAGUCCGUCACUCUAUUUACUCUUUUAUGUAUUCACUUAUGUUAAUAUGAAGUGUUAAUUCCACGCAAAUAAUUAGGAUUCACAUAUAGCCAUCAGGAAGAAAAAUCUGCCAAAGGGCUAAAUACAUUUGC